CAAUAGCGUAUAUUAAAGUUGUUGCAGUUAAAAGCUCGUAGUUGGAUUUCGGAUGUGAACGACCGGUCCGCCGUUGCGGUGUGCACUGGACGUUUGUAUCUUGUUGUCGGGGACGCGCUCCUGACCUUAACUGGGAGGGACGCGGAGUCGGCGCUGUUACUUUGAAAAAUUAGAGUGUUUAAAGCAGGCUUAUGCCGUUGAAUAUAUUAGCAUGGAAUAAUAAGAUAGGACUUUGGAACUAUUUUGUUGGUUUGCGUUACAAAGUAAUGAUUAAUAGGGACAGUUGGGGGUAUUCGUAUUUCGUUGUCAGAGGUGAAAUUCUUGGAUUUCCGAAAGACGAACUACUGCGAAAGCAUUUACCAAGGAUGUUUUCAUUAAUCAAGAACGAAAGUUAGGGGAUCGAAGACGAUUAGAU
rnacentral:rRNA from 1 species